UACAGAGGUGGCAAGCGUUGUUCGGAAUUACUGGGCGUAAAGGGCGAGUAGGUGGCCAUCUAAGUCAGACGUGAAAUCCCUCGGCUUAACCGAGGAACUGCGUCUGAUACUGGAAGGCUUGAGGAUGGGAGGAGGGAUGUAGAAUUCCAGGUGUAGCGGUAGAAAUGCGUAGAUAUCUGGAGGAAUACCGGUGGCGAAGGCGGCAUCCUGGACCAUUACUGACGCUGAGGCGCGAAAGCUAGGGGAGCAAACGGG
rnacentral:rRNA from 1 species